rnacentral:rRNA from 1 species
GACGUAGGGCGCAAGCGUUGUCCGGAUUUAUUGGGCGUAAAGAGCUCGUAGGCGGCUUGUUGCGUCGACCGUGAAAACCCGUGGCUCAACUGCGGGCUUGCGGUCGAUACGGGCGGGCUAGAGUUCGGUAGGGGGAGACUGGAAUUCCUGGUGUAGCGGUGAAAUGCGCAGAUAUCAGGAAGAACACCCGUGGCGAAGGCGGCUCUCUGGGACGUGACUGACGCUGAGACGCGAAAAGCGUGGGGAGCGAACAGG